GUUACAGCCGGUACGGACGGGGGGUUAAAACCGCACAAAAAGAGGCUCAGCGUCACUAACCCUUAGGGAAGUGCACGUGGAAACCGUGGCGAGGUGUCACCCCUCACCCACUAGGAUGGAUCCUUUCAGAACAGCAGAAAAUAGCAAGUAUUGGCGAGGGUGCGGCGAAGCUGGAGCCCCGCGCACCGUUGGUGGGGGUGUGAGACGGGGCAGCCGCUGGGAGAGCCGCACUCCACGUGCAGCUGAAUGUCCUGCGACUCGGAAAGGCCACUUCUGGGGAUGCACCCGCAGAACGGAAGGCAGGGCCGUGAGAUGCGCGUGCAGCCCAGGGUCAUCGCAGCGCUGUUGACGAUGAUAAAGCGUGGACCAACCCCAGCGUCCAUGGGGGGAAGAUGGGUGAGCAAAAGGCGGUUUACCCGUGGACCUGGAGGCAGUAGUGAGCUCCCGCGCCCGCCUACUCCUGCACCCCACCUGCUCCCACACCCCGCUCGUGUCCAGACACCUCCGGGUCCUCCCAAGUGCAUCCAGCCCAGCAUCCGUCCAGCGUGCCGGCUUCUGGCCAGCCUGGCUCACAGCGUUAUCAGGGCCUCCUUGGCCCCAGAAACGUGAACCCUGC
rnacentral:lncRNA from 1 species